rnacentral:rRNA from 1 species
AGAGUUUGAUCAUGGCUCAGGACGAACGUUGGCGGCGUGUCUAAGGCAUGCAAGUCGAGGGAUCGGCCUUACUUCGGUAAGGAUACGGACCGGCAAACGGGAGAGUAACACACUGGUAACCUACCUCUGAGUCGGGGAUAGCCCAUCGAAAGGUGGAUUAAUACCCGAUGGUCAUUAGGAAACAUAAGUUUCUUAAUGUAAAGUUUUUUCGCUCAGAGAGGGGCCUAUGUCUGAUUAGUUAGUUGGUAGGGUAAUGGCCUACCAAGGCGAUGAUCAGUAGCAGGCGUGAGAGCGUGACCUGCCUCACUGGGACUGAGACACUGCCCAGACUCCUACGGGAGGCUGCAGUCAAGAAUAUUCCGCAAUGCACGAAAGUGUGACGGAGCGACGCCGCGUGCAGGAAGAAGCCCUUCGGGGUGUAAACUGCUUUUCUCAGGGAAGAAUUUGUGACGGUACCUGAGGAAUAAGGGGUUGCUAACUCUGUGCCAGCAGCAGCGGUAAUACAGAGACCCCAAACGUUGUCCGGAUUCAUUGGGCGUAAAGCGUCCGCGGGCGGUUUAGUAAGUUGAUGGUCAAAUCUCAGGGCUCAACUCUGAGACUGCUAUCAAUACUACUAAACUAGAGGCUGGGAGAGGCAUACGGAACUGCUGGUGUAGUAGUAAAAUGCGUUGAUAUCAGCAGGAACACCAAAGGCGAAGGCAGUAUGCUAGAACAGUUCUGACGCUCAUGGACGAAAGCGUGGGGAGCGAAUGGGAUUAGAUA